AUGUAGUAGCGAGUUUUAAAUGGAAAGUGUGCGAGGCUAGGAUACCAAGAUACAAAUAUCGGUUUCCUCACAACACAAACAGCUAGUUAGCCUCCAAGCUAGCUGAAAUCUCCAAACUGCAGCUGUCAAGAAAACUACAUUGGAGGAAAAAGUACAAGAAAAUGGAAGUUGUCAAACAUGGUCCAGGAUCUUUCCAUUCAGACUGACUCUCUAUUCAGAGGCGAUUAGUGGUCAUCUCCUUCUCUUCCAACAGCCCCGUGGUCAGCCCAGUUUUCAGAAUAGAUGCGGCCAUCCCUGAGAAACUAAAUCCUAAGGAAGCUGAGGGGAGCGGGAGAAGCGCAGCUCAGAGUCCCGGGACAGU